rnacentral:tRNA from 1 species
GCGCCCGUAGCUCAGGUGGAUAGAGCAGCGGUUUCCUAAACCGCGUGUCGGGAGUUCAAGUCUUCCCGGGCGCGCCA